rnacentral:rRNA from 1 species
GACGAACGCUGGCGGCGUGCUUAACACAUGCAAGUCGAACGGAACGUCCCUGCUUUUUUGCGGUGCUCUGGUUACCGCCUGGUAACUAACCCUUAAGUUACCUGCCCUUGCCUUUAGGGUAUCUUCAUACCGCUUGGGCUCAUACCACCUAGGAGCUCCUGCUUCAUGAUGGGGGUUCGAAAGUUUCGGCGGUUGGUGAUGGACUCGCGGCGUAUCGGCUUGUUCGUUGGGUAGUGGCUUACCAAGGCUUUGACGGGUAGCAGGCCUGCGCGGGUGACCGGCCACACUGGGACUGAGAUACGGCACGGACUACUACGGGACGCAGGAGUGGGGAAGAGAGCACUAGGGGCGGAAGCCUGAUGCAGCAACGCCGCGUGCGGGAUGAGGGCCAUCGGGUUGGAAUCCGCAGUUGCCUGUGACGAGACGUGAGUGACGGUAAUGGGUAAAGAAGCACCGGCUAACUACGUG